AAAAAGAUAGGCUAUAAAAGCUUAUAGGCUCAUAACCUGUAGAUAAAGUUAUUUUAACUUUUCUUUUUA
rnacentral:tRNA from 1 species